UACGUAGGGGGCAAGCGUUGUUCGGAUUUACUGGGCGUAAAGAGCGUGUAGGCGGCCAAACAGGUCAGCUGUGAAAACUCGAGGCUCAACCUCGAGACGUCGGUUGAAACCGUUUGGCUAGAGUCCGGAAGAGGAGAGUGGAAUUCCCGGUGUAGCGGUGAAAUGCGCAGAUAUCGGGAAGAACACCCGUGGCGAAGGCGGCUCUCUGGGACGGUACUGACGCUGAGACGCGAAAGCGUGGGGAGCGAACAGG
rnacentral:rRNA from 1 species